GCCAAAGGUCGCCAGCAGGCUGUUGGCGGGUGUAAUAAUGUCACAUUUCAAUUUAUGCGGGGAGCUGCACAGGAAUCAAAAGCAGUAAAUAAUCUGGGCUGCACUGAAGCUGCAGCCAACACUGAGGCCCGCAGGUUGUGCUGCCCCAAGAAGAAACCACCACUGUCACCGCACAGCGGCACUUCCUCUCUGCCAGGCGGGGGACUUGUGCCCCGAGACGUGUAGCAUCAGCAAGGCCCUCUAGCGUCUGAGUUUUAUAUGGGUAUUCUGGGAGCAAAGGUUCUAGAGCAGCAUGAGUCUCCCCGGUAUUGUGCAGUCCCGACAUCCUCAACGCCAGGAAGACCUGGCUCCGAGGGAAAAUGGAGCAAGACAGCGGUUGGGACUGGCAUUGUAAGGACCUGUGGGUAGAUGCUCGUUUUCAUGCAGAGAUGGGCCAAGAGGCUGGCAUUGACAUUUGUUGGAAGGAGCUCAUGUUGAGGAGUCCCCUCUGGACAGUGGCUCACCCUCACAGUGCACCCUACACGGAAACGCUGCCGCCACCCCGAGUCUUAUGUUGGGGUCCACGCUUGCUAGUGUCCAUCUUAGGGUCUCGGUGACAUGGAUGAUGACACGUACCCAUGCUUGUCUUCACAUGCAUUGCCUUAGGGUUCGUCUGUCACAUCGAGCGGUUUUGCUGCCCUGAAACCCCCGUCGCUGCUUGCAUAGGUGCGUACCUGUAGUGCACGGGAGGCCGCCUUGUCUCACGUGAAUGACCGUUUGUCCCUUUUUCCAUGGGACACACGUAGCUCCUUUGUCCAAAGUCAGCUGACCAUAUUUAUGUGGGUCUAUUUUGGGGUUCUCCAAUAGAUUUUUCUCUUCUUUUGCUAGUUCCAUGCUUUUCCC
rnacentral:lncRNA from 1 species